CUUUUCUUUGUUCUCCCGGGUCAAGUUGUUUGCCUAGUCAGUCCCAAUGUGAGAACCUGAAUAUUUCAGUUGACGCGCUGACUUCAAAAUCCCCGGGCUUCGGGAGGCGGAGCUUGCAGUGAGCCGAGAUCCCGCCACUGCACUCCAGCCUGGGCGACAGAGCGAGACUCCGUCUCAAAAAAAAAAAAAAAAAAAAAAAAAUCCCCGGGCUUUUCUUUUCACUCAGUGGAAGGCAGCUGCUUCUAAUUGGCCAUCUUGGCCCGCCCCCACCACGUGACCUUCUGUAAAAUGCCUCCACUCUCCAGGAACGCUCUCAUUAUAUAACUUUGCCUGAAACCAACAGCACGCUCAUUGCACAUAUCAUGGGCUCAUUUAUUUCACUUAUAAAGAACCUGGCCAAGGAAGAGAUAGUGCCUAAAGUGGCCAGUAUUCUGACCGAUAUGUUAGAAAAAUGGUGUGCCGACCAAUUCAUGACAUGUGUCCCAAAACUAGCAACGGAAAUUGUAUUCGCCGUGUUGAGGUCUCUAAUCCAGAUGAUGCUCAUCUAUGUACUGGAAAAGGCAGAGUCCUUUCCUGACAAGCUGCUGAAACUCUUCAGAAACAUCUCAUAUUUCCUGAAGAAGAUGAUGUCUGGACAAGCAGCACAGGAGGAAGAGGGUAAUCCGGAUGAGUUUUCUGACCUACUCGGCGGCUGUGAUUAAACAACCACCAGGAAAUUUUGACGACACUGUUCUCCUGAGCUCCUCCCUUUCCUCCGGGAACAAAACAAUUGAAUUUACAAAAAUAAAGUGUUAUUUGACUGGAGUGAGGUCUCAUGUCUGCUUAUGCGGUGGCUCGCUGCUCAGAACAGGAUGGCAGAGAUGAGCACCACCAUCAAAAACUCAAGGACCAGUGCUGUGGGUCCAGUCAUCUGUUUCAUGGAAUUCACCAGUCUGGUAUCUUCAAAAUCCAGAAGGAUGAUGGCAGAUGGCAGGAAGGUAAUGCAAACGUCAUCAGGUGUGACCCCACUGUAGCAGCUGUGAUGGAUGUUUUCUCUCACCAUAGCAAUAAAUAACACAACCUCGGUCACACUGUAUGCAUUGUUGGUCUGCAAAAUCCAUGUUUUGCAAAACUCUUCAGGAAGGUGGAUCUGUAAUAUUGGCAUUGACAUGAGAACAACAGCAGUAUUUAUUCACAAUCUCAAGCUCUCUGUCUUCCCGUCUCUCUCAUUAGCCAUCCAAGUAGUCCUGAGGAACCAAGCCCAUCAGAACAUUCUGCAACAUAAUACACAGCUCCAUUCUCCAUUCAAAUUUUGUUGUUGUUGUUGUUGUUGAUGAGACAACAUCUUACUCCAUCAGCCAGGCUGACGUACAGUGGGGCUAUCUGGGCUGACUGUAGUCUUGAGCUUCCAGGCUCAAGGCAUCCUCUCACCUCAGCCUCCUAAGUGGCUUGAACUACAGACACACAGCGACAUGCUGGGCUAGUUUUUGUAUAUUUUGUAGAGACGUGCUCUCACCAUGUUAUUCAGGCUGGACUCAAACUCCUGAGCGUAAGUGAUCCAAGCACCUUGGCCUCAAAGUGCUGAGAUUACAAGCCUGAGCCACUGCACCCAGCCCAAUCUCCAUUCUACUGAUAACAAUGUCAUUACCAGGUCUGAUGGACAGGAAAUGGUAAGGUUUCUGAAAACCUAAGGAUCACACAGCGAGUUCCAAAGGCUGAAAGUGCAUACCUGUCGACACUGAUACCAAUGACAUCCAAUGGAGGAAGAGGGUAAUCUGGAAGAGUUUCCUGACCUACUCUGCUGCUGUGAUUAAACAACCACCAGGAAAUUUUGAUGACACUGUUCUCCUGAGCUCCUCCCUUUCCUCGGGGAAGAAAAGCAUUGAAACUACAAAAAUAAAGUGUUAUUUGGCUGGA